UUUGAUUUUCUGUUUAAUUGGAUUGUAUAGACCACAAGUUCAUGUAAAAGUAUUUAGGAACAGUAAGCAGCAGAGGAAAUAGGUUAAAUUUAGUGUUCUUUGUUAUUGACAAUGGAUAAUUUCAAACGUUAAUAGGAUUUUCGAUAUUUGCCAGUGUUGCAUGUUAAAACUCUAAUUUUUUUAAUGGAUUAAGAGAGAUGGAUUUUUUUUCACUUGUAGAAGACGGUAGAUUUCAAUUCCCAAACCACAGUGUUAUACUUUAGUGUUCUGUUUUAGAAUUGAAAAUGUAUCGUGAUAGAUAAAAAAAUGUGAGUAGUGGAAGAGUAUUAUUUUAAGAAUGGUGCACAGCAGAGAAAAUUGUUAAGGAAAAUUUACAACAGAGGUGAAUAGGACGAUUCCAUGGACAAAUGCUGCUAUCACCAGCAGAUGAGAUAGCUGGAGUGUUCAUAUCUAGAGAUGAGAACCACCGGAAAAUUGUCAUAUAGUUGUCCAUGGUCGAGAAAGAGGUCCAAAGUUGCCAUCUGUCCUCAGCCCCCACAAUGAUCCAAUGCUGUAUCCUUUGAUUUUCCUUGUGAUUCGAGAUGGGAUAAGGACAUGACACAUAUAAAAGCAAGGAAACAGUCUACGCAAAAUAAUACUCUGUUGAAAUUGAUAAUAACAGACAGUCAAAAGCUUGUGGAGGACCCUGAAGCGAAGUUUAAAAAAAGGCAUAUCAGCCGACCUGUUUGCAGAUCAUCUCUGUGAGUAUUUGUGCAGAAGAGAAGUAUGGUUUUCUAGAAAAGUAGUUAGGAGGAGUAAACUACAAUUAAAAGUGGAAACCAAAUAGUGUUCCGCGGCAAGAAAAGUCGAAAUGAACACAACGUUGCAAAAACAAUGGCACCAGUACCUACUCACAUAACAUAACAUUUCACAUUGGCUAAAGUAAUCAUUAGUAUUACGCUGCUCAAUCAGAGUUUAAAUAAAGUUUCUUCAAAGUAAUCUGAGACAAAUACAUUUCUUUUACAUAUAAAAGUAUAGCUCUACUAUAAUAUGAUUUUAAAGGCUUAAAAUGUAAUUCAGCUAGACAUUAUCACUAAAAAUUAAUUAAAAGUA